GUGGCUCUGUAACGUCAUCUGUCACUAUUACGUCACCUGUCAUGACUAGUUAAGAAGCUUUCGUCUGUUUAUUUCCUCCCUCCAAAUUUCAUUAUUAUAGGUAUAAACAUUCAAAAUAUACGAGGGGGGUACGGACUUUUGACUAGCACUGUAUAAAGCCACACCACCAGCUUACAUCAAUUCACAGUUUAAUUUGAAAACAUGAAGGCUGGCUUUGUAUUGGCCAUUUAAGUUUGCGUCGGUCUUACCGUCAGCGCCCAAAAGAUUGACAUAAGUGAGAUGAAGUUGAAGAAGAAAUGAGAGACUUGUGCCAUGUUUUCCCAGAUCAUUAUGAAAAAUCGUGCGAGGACAAUCUUAGUCCAGCAAUCGAUCAAAUGUACAACCAGUUGGAAGACACACCUUCUAGAGAUCUAUGCGUUAAGUUGGAAUUAUGUAAUUAAUAUCUUUGUUAGAUAUUAUAUUAUAAUAAAAAAUUUAUAGUAAA